UGCUCCAAUAGCGUAUAUUAAAAUUGUUGCGGUUAAAAAGCUCGUAGUUGGAUUGAAGGAGGUGAGCGGGAAGGUCUGCCUCACGGCGUGACCGCCUGCUAGCUUUCUGAAUGCCCGAUCACGAUUGGGAUGGCCUUAACUGGUUGUUCUGCGUGAUCGAGCCGUGUACUUUGAAUAAAUUGGAGUGUUCAAAACAGGCGCUUGCGCUCGGACAUUUUAGCAUAGGAUACUGGAAUAGGGCAUAAGAGGUUUAUUUAGUGGCCUCUUGUGCAAUGAUUAACAGAAACGGUUGGGGGUGUUCAUAUUUAUUAGUCAGAGGUGAAAUUCUUGGAUUUGAGAAAGAUGCACUGUUGCGAAAGCGUUCAUCAAGGACGUUUUCA
rnacentral:rRNA from 1 species